CGGGCUGCACUCCCCUCGCUGCUGGCAGGGCAGGGACUACGAGGAUCUGCUGGAGUCCGGCUCCGAGCUCCGAAGGGCCAGCGGGUCCCCCGCCCACAACCUCCCGCCCUCUCUCUGGUACAGGCUCCUGUCCCCUGGAUUCCCAACAGGAUCAUGUGCUCGCAAGUCCCAGCUCUGAGUACCCUGAGUUCUGUACCCACGAGGUGGUUGGAAGGAUUAAAAGUGGCCAACCAUGGUUUCCAAAAACUGCAGUCUUGACUCUUCCCGGCUGGUGGACUUGGAGGAAAGAUGGCUCUAGGUUACCAAGCUUCUUCUGGCUCCUUCCUCCUGACAACCUUGGCCUUACUGCCUCCUGGUCACAAGAUGGCAGCCAAGCUCCAGGCAUCUGGACUAAGGAAGUGGUGGGAUGCAAAGCAGGAAAACUUUUCCAGAAGCACCCAGCUUGAUCUCCCUUCUGUUUUAGCACAUGCCCACCCCAGAUUGGGGCCUUCGGUCUCUCCCUGAGAUCAAGGGAGUGCACCUGAUGUCUGUCAGGCAUGCCUACACCAGGGAAACCUAUGCCUCCUUCCACAGCCACACAUACAAGUGAAGUGGCCAAAGCCUGCAGGGCAGAGGUAGGUCCACCACAUGGAGUUGGGACAUGCUCACUUGGCAUCCCCUUCCAAGCCACACAGCUUUGUGUCAGUUCAGCUGAGACAUUCAGGUCUACAAAGAAAGGUGCCAGAGGUUGCCAUCCCAUCAAUCCCACUGACAUCACCCCGUUCCUGCCUUGGGUGACUGGACGAUGGCGUCUCCAUUCUGCCCUUGUCCAAUAGGGACCAUGUCAGUGCUUACUCUAGGGCCAUGGUCCCAAGCUAGGGUAGCUGUGCUUCCCUCUCUGGACUUGAGCUUUGUUGUUUUUAUUUUUUUUUAAUAUUCUAUUUUAUAUAAUUCUUACAUCAUUUUUUCACAAUGUAUGCAUUAUCAUUUUGGUUAUAUUCCCUGUACAAUUGCACCCCAUCACCUCUUAUUUUGACCCUAGUCCUUCCCCCCCACCCCUGCCCCCCGUGGUUUGUCUCUGGUUUAUAGUUGCUUGUUGGCUUUGUUAUUUUUAAAACAGUUCCAGCCCUAUAGGGUUGUUGUGAGGAGCAGUAAGGGUCUGUCAGUGACCCUCUGUGGUGUGUGGCUCACUCUUUGUAGGGCUAAAACACCUUCUUCAUGAACUGUCUCAAGCCAGACUCUGCUAGUGGCUUCUGAACUUUUGUCAUGACCACAGUGAUACAUUUAUCACCUUCUACACACCAUGUCUGUCUAAAACAUAAGUACCAUGAAAUAAUACUCAAAACUUGUAAAGCAGAAUUGGUUGACUAGGUUCAUUUUAUUAAAUGCCAGGCAUGACCUACUAGGUUGAUUUUUACAGUCCACCAUGGAUUCUGACCCUCAAUUUGGGGAACUCAGCUUCAGACUGUCCUUUCUUCCUUUUUCUAAACUGACCUGGAGUAUCAGUUUCCUGCUGCUACUGCAGCUUACCACAAACUUAGUGGCUUAAAGCAACACAAGUGCUCUUAUUCUCUUACGGUUCUGGAGGGCAGCAGUCUGCAGUCUCAGCGGGCUUCCUUGGA